rnacentral:rRNA from 1 species
UACGUAGGGUGCGAGCGUUGUCCGGAAUUAUUGGGCGUAAAGAGCUUGUAGGCGGUUUGUCGCGUCUGCUGUGAAAAUCCGGGGCUCAACCCCGGACUUGCAGUGGGUACGGCAGACUAGAGUGUGGUAGGGAGACUGGAAUUCCCUGGUGUAGCGGUGAAAUGCGCAGAUAUCAGGAGGAACACCGAUCGGCGAAGGCAGGUCUCUGGCCACUACCUGAC